AGUCUGUGGUGCGUGCAACAUCGAAGCAAGUCUUUGUACCUCUCCCAAGCAUCAUACAUGCUCUCAUCGUCGAACUGCACAAAAGAAGAUAUAUCAUUUCUCAAUCU
rfam:Ricinus communis cultivar Hale ctg_1100012358783, whole genome shotgun sequence.